rnacentral:rRNA from 1 species
GUGUCAGCCGCCGCGGUAAUACGUAGGGGGCAAGCGUUGUCCGGAAUCAUUGGGCGUAAAGCGCGCGUAGGCGGCCUCGUAAGUCCGCUGUAAAAGUCAAAGGCUCAACCUUUGAACGCCGGUGGAUACUGCGAGGCUAGAGUCCGGAAGAGGCGGGUGGAACUCCUGGUGUAGCGGUGGAAUGCGCAGAUAUCAGGAAGAACACCAACGGCGAAGGCAGCCCGCUGGGACGGUACUGACGCUAAGGCGCGAAAGCGUGGGGAGCGAACAGGAUUAGAAACCCGCGUAGUCC